GACGAACGCUGGCGGCGUGCUUAACACAUGCAAGUCGAACGGAAAGGCUCCAGCUUUCUGGGGUACUCGAGUGGCGAACGGGUGAGUAACACGUGGGUAAUCUGCCCUGCACUCUGGGAUAAGCCUGGGAAACUGGGGCUAAUACUGGAUAUGACCUUUCUCCUUAUGGGGUUGGUUGGAAAGUUUUUCGGUGUAGGAUGAGCCCGCGGCCUAUCAGCUUGUUGGUGGGGUGAUGGCCUACCAAGGCGACGACGGGUAGCCGGCCUGAGAGGGUGAGCGGCCACAUUGGGACUGAGAUACGGCCCAGACUCCUACGGGAGGCAGCAGUGGGGAAUAUUGCACAAUGGGCGGAAGCCUGAUGCAGCGACGCCGCGUGAGGGAUGACGGCCUUCGGGUUGUAAACCUCUUUCAGCAGGGACGAAGCGUAAGUGACGGUACCUGCAGAAGAAGCACCGGCUAACUAUGUG
rnacentral:rRNA from 1 species